rnacentral:rRNA from 1 species
GACGAACGCUGGCGGCGUGCCUAAUACAUGCAAGUAGAACGCUGAAGGAGGAGCUUGCUUCUCUGGAUGAGUUGCGAACGGGUGAGUAACGCGUAGGUAACCUGCCUGGUAGCGGGGGAUAACUAUUGGAAACGAUAGCUAAUACCGCAUAAGAGUAGAUGUUGCAUGACAUUUACUUAAAAGGUGCAAUUGCAUCACUACCAGAUGGACCUGCGUUGUAUUAGCUAGUUGGUGAGGUAACGGCUCACCAAGGCAACGAUACAUAGCCGACCUGAGAGGGUGAUCGGCCACACUGGGACUGAGACACGGCCCAGACUCCUACGGGAGGCAGCAGUAGGGAAUCUUCGGCAAUGGACGGAAGUCUGACCGAGCAACGCCGCGUGAGUGAAGAAGGUUUUCGGAUCGUAAAGCUCUGUUGUAAGAGAAGAACGAGUGUGAGAGUGGAAAGUCCACACUGUGACGGUAUCUUACCAGAAAGGGACGGCUAACUACGUG